GACGAACGCUGGCGGCAGGCCUAACACAUGCAAGUCGAACGAGUGGCGGACGGGUGAGUAAUGUCUGGGAAACUGCCCGAUGGAGGGGGAUAACUACUGGAAACGGUAGCUAAUACCGCAUACCAUCGGAUGUGCCCAGCUGGGAUUAGCUAGGAGGUGGGGUAACGGCUCACCUAGGAGACGAUCCCUAGCUGGUCUGAGAGGAUGACCAGCCACACGGGAACUGAGACACGGUCCAGCCUCCUACGGGAGGCAGCAGUGGGGAAUAUUGCACAAUGGGCGCAAGCCUGAUGCAGCCAUGCCGCGUGUGUGAAGAAGGCCUUCGGGUUGUAAAGCACUUUCAGCGGGGAGGCGUUACCCGCAGAAGAAGCACCGGCUAACUCCGUGCCAGCAGCCGCGGUAAUAC
rnacentral:rRNA from 1 species